GACGCCGCGUGGGGAUGAAGGCCCUCGGGUCGUAAACCCCUACGUGCAGGGAGGAAUAAGGAUGUCAGGUAAUGGGCAUCCGAUGACGUUACCUGCACAAUCAGCUCCGGCUAACUACGUGCCAGCCACUGCGGUGACUGAGCGGGCUGGCAAGGCGCAUA
rnacentral:rRNA from 1 species